UGCGGUAUAGCUUAACUGGUAGAGCAUUUGACUCUGACUCAGGAGGUUGUAAGUUCGAAUCUUACUACCGCAG
rnacentral:tRNA from 1 species